rnacentral:tRNA from 1 species
AAUAUAAAUUAUAAUUAGUUUCGACCUAAUUUUCACCUAUUUUAUUAGGUUAUAUUU